GAUGAACGCUGGCGGCGUGCUUAAUACAUGCAAGUCGAGCGGACGGACGCGAAGCUUGCUUCUCUGAUGUUUGCCGCGGACGUGAGAGUAACACGUGUAUAACCUCCCUAUAAGACUGGUAUCACUACGGGAAACCGGCGCUAAUACCGGAUGAUAUUUUGCAGCGUGUGGGUGAUUAGUGAAUGUCGGUGGUGCGGUCAGUAAUCGAUGGAUCCGCGCUGCAUUAGGUGGUUGGUAAGUUAACGGCUUAGCACGGCGACGAGGCAUAGCCGAGCGGAGAGGGUGAUCGGCCACACUGGAAGUGAGACGCGGUCAAUAGUCCUACGGGAGGCAGCAGUCUCGAAUCGUACGCAAUGGGCGAAAGCCUUGCGCAGUAACGCGGAGUGAGUGACGAAGAUCCUCCGAUCGUAAAGCCCGGCUAUGAGGGAAAAACAUAUGUCGCAGGAACUGUGCAGAGCUUGACGGUACCGAGUCAGAAAGCCCCGGCUAACUACGUG
rnacentral:rRNA from 1 species